rnacentral:rRNA from 1 species
UGGGGAAUAUUGGACAAUGGGGGGAACCCUGAUCCAGCCAUGCCGCGUGUGUGAAGAAGGCCUUAUGGUUGUAAAGCACUUUAAGCGAGGAGGAGGGUACUGGUAUUAAUACUACCAGGUACUGGACGUUACUCGCAGAAUAAGCACCGGCUAACUCUGUGCCAGCAGCCGCGGUAAUACAGAGGGUGCGAGCGUUAAUCGGAUUUACUGGGCGUAAAGCGUGCGUAGGCGGCUAAUUGAGUCGGAUGUGAAAGCCCCGGGCUCAACCUGGGAACUGCAUCCAAAACUGGCGAGCUAGAGUAGGGCAGAGGGUGGUGGAAUUUCCUGUGUAGCGGUGAAAUGCGUAGAUAUAGGAAGGAACACCAGUGGCGAAGGCGACCACCUGGGCUCAUACUGACACUGAGGUGCGAAAGCGUGGGGAGCAAACAGG